AGAGUUGAUCAUGGCUACAGGAUGAACGCUAGCGAUAGGCCUAACACAUGCAAGUCGAGGGGCAGCACAUGAGUAGCAAUACGAUGGUGGCGACCGGCGCACGGGUGAGUAACACGUAUGCAACCUACCUUUAACAGGGGAAUAACCCGUUGAAAAACGGACUAAUACUCCAUAACACAGGGGUCCCGCAUGGGAAUAUUUGUUAAAGAUUAAUCGGUUGAAGAUGGGCAUGCGUUCCAUUAGCUUGUUGGUGAGGUAACGGCUCACCAAGGCCACGAUGGAUAGGGGAACUGAGAGGUUUAUCCCCCACACUGGAACUGAGACACGGUCCAGACUCCUACGGGAGGCAGCAGUGAGGAAUAUUGGUCAAUGGAGGCAACUCUGAACCAGCCAAGUCGCGUGAAGGAUGAAGGUCUUAUGGAUUGUAAACUUCUUUUGCAAGGGAAUAAAGUGGGGGACGUGUCCUCCUUUGCAUGUACCUUGCGAAUAAGGAUCGGCUAACUCCGUGCCAGCCGCCGC
rnacentral:rRNA from 1 species